rnacentral:lncRNA from 1 species
UUAAAUUAGUUGGGCUGUGGUGAUUGUCUGGGCAUGAGAAUAGAACAACUGGCAGUUGGGGGGGAGAGAGAGGAGGGGGGAGAGAGAGGAGGAGUUACAGCUGAGAAGAUAAUUUCUGUGAAUAACUCAAGGGCCCCAUUCCAAUACUCUACAAAUACAUCCUUCCUUCCCACGGGUCCCAUUCCAAUACUCUACAAAUACAUCCUUCCUUCCCACGGGCCCCAUUCCAAUACUCUACAAAUACAUCCUUCCUUCCCACGGGUCCCAUUCCAAUACUCUACAAAUACAUCCUUCCUUCCCACGGGCCCCAUUCCAAUACUCUACAAAUACAUCCUUCCUUCCCACGGGCCCCAUUCCAAUACUUUACAAAUACAUCCUUCCUUCCCACGGGCCCCAUUCCAAUACUCUACAAAUACAUCCUUCCUUCCCACGGGCCCCAUUCCAAUACUCUACAAAUACAUCCUUCCUUCCCACGGGCCCCAUUCCAAUACUCUACAAAUACAUCCUUCCUUCCCACGGGCCCCAUUCCAAUACUCUACAAAUACAUCCUUCCUUCCCACGGGCCCCAUUCCAAUACUUUACAAAUACAUCCUUCCUUCCCACGGGCCCCAUUCCAAUACUCUACAAAUACAUCCUUCCUUCCCACGGGCCCCAUUCCAAUACUCUACAAAUACAGCCUUCCUUCUAUUCAUGCACAUCUCUCCAGGUUUCCCACGUUGAGCCAACAUUAUAACAUUACAUUAUAACACAUUGUCUUUAAAACACGUCAAAACCUAAGUUCUACUCUACAGGUGACAGUGAAGGGCAGUAAGGACCUUGUUUACACAAAGCUCUUGGAAUGGGGGAGGAGGGGUGAGGGAGGAGGGACAGAGAUAGAGGAAAGGGGUGAGGAGGGACAGAGGGUGAGGAGGGGUGAGGGAGGAGGGACAGAGAUAGAGGAAAGAGGUGAGGAGGGGUGAGGUAGGAGGGACAGAGGGUGAGGAGGGGUGAGGUAGGAGGGACAGAGAUGGGGGAAAGGGGUGAGGAGUGAUGAGGUAGGAGGGACAGAGGGUGAGGAGGGGUGAGGGAUGGGGGUGAGGGCAGGUAGAUGUACAGACAACAUACUUUUUUUUUAAAGAGUUUCAGGUGAGAAAGAUGAGAAGAACAGGAAGUGACAGACUGGUAGGGAGUGGGAAAGAGAAGAAGGACAGGAAGUGACAGACUGGUAUGAAGAAGUAAAAGAUGAGAAGAACAGGAAGUGACAGACUGGUAUUAAGGAGUAAAAGAUGAGAAGGACAGGAAGUGACAGACUGGUAUGAAGAAGUAAAAGAGAAGAAGGAAGCACCAAUUAUAUAACAUAUACCAUCUAAGAGUUAAAUAUUACUCCAGGUUAAAGUUAACCUCCUAAC